AUGGAUAUAGCUCACAAUGGGUGGUAUAGAGUGCUCACAGUGCGCAGGCACAGGGCCCUCGCCCUGUCAGUCGGCACUGAGUGCCGGCAGGGGGCUCUGUGGCCACGGUGCGGGCAGCGGUGGCAGCGGCUGGACUCCCGCACUACGAGCGGCCUCAGCACCUAGGAGAGCGCCGCGCCCUUCUCUCUGGAGUACCAAGCCCUCCUCAAAAAUGAGAAAAUUCAAUAUAUAUCUCCAUUUCAUGUUGUUCCAAUUUUUGCAGGUAAGGAUGAGUUCCACAUGGUAGUUGAAGUACCACGCUGGUCUAAUACAAAAAUGGAGAUUGCUACAAUGGACCAUUUAAACCCCAUUAAACAAGAUGCGAAUAAAGGAAAACUUCAUUAUGUUGUGAAUUUGUUCCCCUAUAAAGGAUAUAUCUGGAACUAUGGAGCCAUCCCUCACACUUGGAAAGACCCAGGGCGCAAUGAUAAACCUACUGGCUGUUGUGGUGACAAUGGCCCAAUUGAUAUGUGCGAAAUUGGAAGCAAGGGAUGUGCAAGAGGUGAAAUAAUUGGCGUGAAAGUUCUAGGCAUAUUGGCUAUGAUUGAGGAAGCGGAACCCGACUGGAAAGUCAUUGCCAUUAAUGUGAAUGAUCCUGACGCAGCCAAUUAUAAUGAUAUCAAUGAUGUCAAACAGCUGAAACUGGCUACUUAGAAGCUACUGUGGACUGGUUUAGAAGGUACGAGGUUCCUGAUGGAAAACCAGAAAAUGAGUUUGCUUUUAAUGCAGAAUUUAAAGAUAAGGUUUGCAAUUUAUAUUAAAAGCACUCAUGAUCAUUGGAAAGCAUUAGUGAGUAAGAAAAUGAAUGGAAAAGAAAUCCAUUGCAUGAAUACAGCUGUGUCUGAGAGCCCCUUCAAGUGUGAUCCCGAUGCUGCCAGAGCCAUCGUGGAUGCUUUACCACCACCCUGUGAAUCUGCCCGCACACUACCAACAAAAGUGGAUAAGUGGUUCUAUCACCAGAAAAAUUAUUGAGAUUUCUCUGGAAUACACACUGAUAUUGCUGCAUUGUAUUCAUCUGGACAGGAAAAGUAGUAGCUUUCCAAAGCUUUAAAUUUGUAGAACUCAUCUAACUAAGGUAAAUUUUGCUGUAACCAAUUCAAUAUACUCAGAAUGUUAUCGUCUAAAGCAUUUUUCAUAUCUCAACUAAGAUAACUUUUAGCACAUGCUUAAAUAUCAAAUCAGUUGUCACUUGGAAGUCACUUGUGAAUAGAUGUGCAAGGUGAGCACAUAUUGGAUGUAUAUGUUACCAUGUUAGGAAAUAAAAUUAUUUUGCUG